GACGAACGCUGGCGGCGUGCUUAACACAUGCAAGUCGAACGGAAAGGCCCUGCUUUUGUGGGAUGCUCGAGUGGCGAAAGGGUGAGUAACACGUGAGUAACCUGCCCUUUACUUUGGGAUAACUUCAGGAAACUGGGGCUCAUACCGGAUAUGAGCUCCUGCUGCAUGGUGGGGGUUGGAAAGUUUCGGCGGUUGGGGAUGGACUCGCGGCUUAUCAGCUUGUUGGUGGGGUAGUGGCUUACCAAGGCUUUGACGGGUAGCCGGCCUGAGAGGGUGACCGGCCACAUUGGGACUGAGAUACGGCCCAGACUCCUACGGGAGGCAGCAGUGGAGAAUAUUGCACGAUGGGCGGAAGCCUGAUGCAGCAAUGCCGCGUGCGGGAUGACGGCCUUCGGGUUGUAAACCGCUUUCGCCUGUGACGAAGCGUGAGUGACGGUAAUGGGUAAAGAAGCACCGGCUAACUACGUG
rnacentral:rRNA from 1 species